rnacentral:lncRNA from 1 species
UAGUAUGAUUAAUUUUUUUUAAUGUGCCUAUUGCUUCUGAUUCUUUCUGUGUGGCAAAUUUUGUAACUUCCUCUGUCUAAAAAUGAAACUUUUCAUAAUGAUUGAUCAGUAGAAAAAUACUAAAUUUCUUUUUUAAAAAUUUCCUUUACUGAUUUCUUUCUUUUUUUCUUUUGGCCCAGGAUUGUAAUGUCGGUAAUCCACAUUGACAUCAUAAGAGUUGGCCACAGGCAUGCCAAUGUCAAAAUGUUUCAAAAAACAUUUAAAAAAAUAAAGCCAUGAAUAGAAGCGUCCUUGUUCUUUAAAUUAUUACUGUGUUACCCUGAACUGUAAGUGAACCCUCUCUACUUAGUGAAGGAGCAGCUGUUCAUGCAAUUGAACCCAUGGUUCAUUACAAGCUGACCUCAAAUUCAGGAGUAAAACUUCCUCUAUUUUACUACGACUAUUCAGACACGGACUGGAGAUAAACAAUAAUCAAAAUCCGGAUGGAGCUAGACUGGGGAACCCUCUAUACUCCUUGGCAGAAUUAUAGCAGCUUUUGGAUCACCAAGAGUGAGACAAGUGAAAUGACCCUCAGACGUCCCUUCUCGAAUGGCGAGGGCGGACCCAGGCUGCCAAGUCCAGAGUAGACAAAGGCUGAUUGUGACAACCUUGUUUUUGCUGCCAUUAGACAAGGGACUGUCUUACACAUUUCUUCAGUACUUGGCACAUAAUACCAUUCAAAAAAUGCAUAUUUAACAUGUAUGAUCCAGUGGAAUUGCUUGUGGGAAGAGGGGAGGGAGACAACAUGAACCAUGUAACUUUGGAAAACUUGUGCAUAAAUUUGUUAUUGGAAUAAAAAAGAGAUUUUAAAAAAUA